GACGAACGCUGGCGGCGUGCUUAACACAUGCAAGUCGAACGGAAAGGCCCUGCUUUUGUGGGGUGCUCGAGUGGCGAACGGGUGAGUAACACGUGAGUAACCUGCCCUUGACUUUGGGAUAACUUCAGGAAACUGGGGCUAAUACCGGAUAGGAGCUCCUGCUGCAUGGUGGGGGUUGGAAAGUUUCGGCGGUUGGAGAUGGACUCGCGGCUUAUCAGCUUGUUGGUGGGGUAGUGGCUUACCAAGGCUUUGACGGGUAGCCGGCCUGGGAGGGUGACCGGCCACAUUGGGACUGAGAUACGGCCCAGACUCCUACGGGAGGCAGCAGUGGGGAAUAUUGCACAAUGGGCGGAAGCCUGAUGCAGCAACGCCGCGUGCGGGAUGACGGCCUUCGGGUUGUAAACCGCUUUCGCCUGUGACGAAGCGUGAGUGACGGUAAUGGGUAAAGAAGCACCGGCUAACUACGUG
rnacentral:rRNA from 1 species